UACGUAGGGGGCAAGCGUUGUCCGGAUUUAUUGGGCGUAAAGAGCGUGUAGGCGGCCGCACAGGUCCGUUGUGAAAACUGGAGGCUUAACCUUCAGACGUCGAUGGAAACCGUGCGGCUAGAGUCCGGAAGAGGAGAAUGGAAUUCCUGGUGUAGCGGUGAAAUGCGCAGAUAUCAGGAGGAACACCGAUGGCGAAGGCAGGUCACUGGGCCGCAACUGACGCUGAGGAGCGAAAGCAUGGGGAGCGAACAGG
rnacentral:rRNA from 1 species